UACGGGAGGCAGCAGUGAGGAAUAUUGGAUAAUGGGGGGAGGCCUGAUCUAUGCAUCCCGCGUGUGUGAAGAAGGCCUUAUGUUUUAAACUCUAACCGAGGAGGAGGCUAAUCUAGUUAAUCCUAGGCUAAGUGCGUACUCGCAGAAUACUCAGCCG
rnacentral:rRNA from 1 species